rnacentral:rRNA from 1 species
CAAGGAGUCUAACAUGCGCGCGAGUCGUUGGGUCGGACACGCUCCGCUAAACCCAUAGGCAAAAUGAAAGUGAAGGCUACCUUUUUGGGGCCGAGGGAGGACGGAGUUGGUCCCCUCACGGGGAUGGCUCCUGCACUCCCGGGGCGUCUGAUUCCUCAUCGCGAGGGAAGGCGCACCAAGAGCGCACACGUUGGGACCCGAAAGAUGGUGAACUAUGCCUGGCCAGGACGAAGUCAGGGGAAACCCUGAUGGAGGUCCGUAGCGAUUCUGACGUGCAAAUCGAUCGUCGGAGCUGGGUAUAGGGGCGAAAGACUAAUCGAAC